rnacentral:ncRNA from 1 species
GAAGAAAUCUCUGACCGCAUGCCUGUUGAAGAAUGAGCCGGCGACUCAUAAGCAGUGACUUGGUUAAGGGAACGGAACCCACCGGAGCCGUAGCGAAAGCGAGUCUUCAUAGGGCGAUUGUCACUGCUUAUGGACCCGAACCUGGGUGAUCUAUCCAUGACCAGGAUGAAGCUGGAUGAAACUAAGCAGAGGUCCGAAGCGACCGAUGUUGAAGAAUCAGAUGAUGAGUUGUGGUUAGGGGUGAAAUGCUAAUUAGUAUUUGUUUAUAGACUGGAUAGGCGCCUGC